UCUGCAGUAUAAUAGCACUGACUUGAGCUAAUGCGGUCCUUCAAUGUGUGCCCUGGACUUGAGUGAAAUUGCACAGGAAAUGAAUUUAGCCCUCUGUCUGCAGUGUGAAAAGCAACAAAAAGAGGAAGUGCCUCAACCCACUCUAGCUCAGAUUUUCAUAGUUGAUUGCAGGAUUGGGCCUCGUAUAUGUAGUCUAUUACAGUAGCAUUUAGCAGGAAACACCUGAUUCUCAGAUAUUUUCUAUAUAAUCACUGAGAAACAGAAUAAAGUAACACUUUUUAAACUUCAUCAGUCAAGGGGGGGGGGAAUUCUUCAGUUGAAAUUUGGCAGCUACAAUCCUAGUGGAUUUUUUUUUUUAAUGUAAUGACACCUGUACUAUGUCUAUUGUGGUUUAUAUUUCUAUUGAUGAUGAUAUUUAGCACUUAUACAGCAUUUUACAGCUUCAGUGCACUGUGCAAACUAAGUGCAGUAAUUAAUCUGAUGUAGUCUAGCACAAUAUGUACAGUUCAUCUGGCACUAUGUAAUUUUUUUAAAUAGACAUGACAUGUAGGUUUGUACUAGUACCUGUUACAUUCAUCCAGAUGCUGAAUACCAGGCUCGGCUAAUACAGCCAGAGGUGAUACCACACAAGUGAAGAACACUUUACUAACCUUUAAAUUGAAUCUUGAUUCAUUUUUCAUUCCUCCUUUUUUUAUUCUAUCCAUCCAUCUUCCACAUCAUUCUCUCCUCUGAUUUCCAACCACCUUCUGCACUAUUUUUUCAGUACUCUAUACACUGUUCUCUUUCUGCACUCUCCUCCCCAUCUUUUUCCCAUUUCCUCAGCCUCCUACCUCCCUUCUUGUCACAUCCAUUCCUUUCUGCAGGUUUCCUCCACGUUGCUCACACUUUUUUCCCCUUCACCUUCCUCAGGUCCUCACAUCUUGGGCAGCAAGAAUUUAGGCAGUGGUUGGCUUGGGGAGUGUGCAGGGUUAGAGCCAGGAUACAAGAGAGCUCCACCAUCAAGAGGAAGCACUUAAAUGCAGGUCACUGUCCCUCUCUCCUUAAUGGAGAAACUGGGAACAACACCUUAGCUAAUCUGUAACCAUUGAAUAUUAUUUUAUUGGAAGAGAUACUAGAAUAGAAUUAGGUUUACAGGGUACGUAAACAGGAUUCCUGCAGAGAACUGUGUGGCUUCAGGAAAAACAGUGGUAGAUGACUGGAUUGAUUAAGAUGGAACUCUGAUAGGACCAUAGCAGGAGGACUCUAACCCCAUGAAUCAUCACAAAGCCAUUCUCUGAGGUGGAGAACUGCUAGGUUGGGAUGAAGCAUGUGCUGAAAAUGAGGAAUGAUUGGGAGCCUGAACUGCAGUUGGACACAUAAGUGAACUGCAGACGCAACUCCUGGAAAAGACCAAGGGCCAUCUGGGUAGAUGAUAGAACUGCUUCGUAGAAAUAGCCCUUGAGUAGUCAGUUGCUGAGAUAUGGGAAGACUAGGAUUGCUUCUUCUUGGAGACCACAGGGCAUCAGAAGACUCCAUUCCAGGAACAUUCAAACAAAUGAAAGCCUAGGAAGUGGCUGAGGCUGGAGCAGGAAGAGAGGAAGUGGCCCUGGAGGGACUUCUUGUACUCUAACCCAGCCUAGGAGGAGUCCUGUAAGCUCAUGAUUCAAGGACAGAGUCUGCUUAUACUCUAAUCCAGCUCAGGAGGAAUGGUUUGGAUUCCUGAUCCAAGGAGGGAAAGUGCUUUUAUCCCAGUCUGGUACUACAAAGGGGCUAUGGACUCCUGAUGCAAGGGGAAAGAGGCUGAUAUAGUUAUAACCCAGCAAGGAAGCCUGUCUGACCCCAGAGACCUGUGGACUAAAAAGAUUGAAGAGAAACUGAGCCUGCUGACCAAUUCUGGAUAGAAGUUUUUUUUUUUUUUCCCUUUGCUGGACCACGACCAUUCAAUGGAGUGAGUAGCAGGAAGUAUUGAAAGAGAGAUACUGUUAGCACUGUUUCCACAUACCUCAAAGACUGAUCUUUAUGCAGCUGAGACUCCAAGGGAUAUCCCUUAAAAUAAAGGCCAGCUUAUUACCCAUCUUCUCCAGCUCCCGGGGAACUAAAUACUCUGAAGUAGAGAGAAAUUGUUGCACAAUGCUUCUUUAUAGCUCUCAGUGUGCCUUCUUUGCUGGCUCCAGCUGCCCCUAAACUCUGUUUUUCCUAGUCUUUUCUCCAAUAUUUUUUCCAGUUGACUUAGUUAUUACAGUACAUGGACCAGACUGAGGAAAAUACAUUGAAGGUUGGAGUUGGCAAAGCAGUAAGUGCUAUGAGAGGGAAGUACUCUUGCCAUGCAAUGACAUCAUCUGGGAGUUAAUUGGUUGCAUUCCUGCUGAUGGGAGGUGCUGGCUGGAGUCCUUACACUUACUUCCGUGAUACAGAACAGAGACAGUGCCUGUUUCUUGCCAGCCUGCUUCAUUGGCAGUACUCUGGCAAAGUCUAAGAUGCUUACAAAAACAGUACAGUACUUUAUUUAGCCUGUAGUGAGAAAAAGUCCUUUCACAGCUCCAGUUUAGGUGCUGAGCACUAACA